rnacentral:rRNA from 1 species
GACAGAGGGGGCAAGCGUUGCUCGGAAUCACUGGGCGUAAAGGGCGCGUAGGCGGGGAGGUAAGUCGGGUGUGAAAUCCCUCGGCCCAACUGAGGAACUGCGCCCGAGACUGCUUCUCUUGAGUCCCGGAGAGGAAGAUGGAAUUCCCGGUGUAGCGGUGAAAUGUGUAGAGAUCGGGAGGAACACCGGUGGCGAAGGCGGUCUUCUGGACGGUGACUGACGCUGAGGCGCGAAAGCGUGGGGAGCAAACGGG